rnacentral:pre_miRNA from 1 species
CAACUACUCCCUCUGUCCAAAAUUUCUUGUCUUAGAUUUGUCUAGAUACGGAUGUAUCUAAUACUAAAAUGUGACUUGAUACAUCCAUAUCUAGACAAAUCUAAGACAAGAAUUUUGGGAUGGAGGGAGUACUUU